rnacentral:rRNA from 1 species
AUUGAACGCUGGCGGCAUGCUUUAUACAUGCAAGUCGAACGGUAACAGGCCGCAAUGUGCUGAUGAGUGGUGAACGGGGGCGUAUUGCUUCGGAACGUGUCCCGUCGUUGGGGAUAACUACUCGCAAGGGUAGCCAAGACCUCAUACGAUCUAUGGUUGAAAGCGGGGGACCGUAAGGCCUCGCGCGAUCUGAGCGGCCGAUGUUAGAUUAAGUAGUUGGUGGGGUAAGGGCUCACAAAGCCAACGAUCUCUAACGGGUCUGAGAGGACGACCAGCCACAUUGGACUUGGGCAACGGCCAGAAUCCCAAGGGAAGGCAGCGGUGGGAAAUUUUGGAAAAUGGGCGAAACCCGACGCCAGCAAGGCCGGUGGGAGGAAGAAGGCCUUCGGGUGGUAAACUGCUUUUGUAGGGAACAAAACGGCUCUGGUUAAUACCCGGGGCUAAUGACGGUACCGUAAGGAUAAGCACCGGCAAACUACGU